rnacentral:lncRNA from 1 species
UUAAAUUUAACAAAGACAAUAAUUUUACCUUACUUUUGAUCUUAAAUCUGUAUUCUUAGAAUCGAGUAACCUUCAGGCUCUGAAUCUGCAAACUAAUCCCUCAAAUGGUCUCUUGCCUCAAUGGGAAUUCUGCUAUUUCAGUUACUUUGCCCUCACUGUAUCUUUUCUUAGAAUUAAGAAUAAAGAUCUUAAGUAAAGAAAAUUCUCUUUUUGUUAAAGUAAGAAAGAAAUUAUCUUCUUCAAUUUAUCAAGAAUCUAUGGGAUAGAAAGUUUAGAAACUCAUAUUUUUCUGAUAACAAAAGAUUUUAUUUCUAUAAUGAUUUAUACAAGAUUUCUAUUGUAUACAAGGGGUUUCCAGAAAAAUUGGUUUUGGAAAAAAACUUAAGGAAAGAGAAUGAUUUCUAACUUGAGAUGAUCCAUUCUCUUCUCAAAGACCUCUAUUUAUACAUGACUCAAACUCACUAUUAUUGAUCUAUUAUAUCAUUGCAUACAUCAGAAUUUUGAAAAAAGGCUCACAUGCCUCUCUAUUCUUUUUCUCUGGGGUCUACAUUUUCACAUGUAUUUUUUGCUUUUUCAUCAAAGUGGCAUCUUUUCUUCUAUUAUUGCCUUGUCAUCUUUGGCUUCAUAUGCAGCUGGUUAGAUGCUUUUCUAUUAUUGCUUUUCCAUCUUUGACUUCAUAUGCAGCUGGCCAGAUGCUUUGGUAGUGGUAGGUUCUUUUCCAUCCAUCAAUCUUUCAAUUUUGUCUACAUGUGGGGCACUCCCUCAAUCUGCAUGAUUCUUGGAUUGUUGUUGGACUUCCAUUAAUUUGAUGAGCAUCAAAUUUCUGGAUAUAUUCUUUCAAAAUGGUAGAUUUUUCCUUUCCAUUAUUUGUAAGGAGUGUACAUCCUUCAUAUUGGCACAAACAUCUAAAUUUUUUAUCAUAUAAGUUCUUUGCAAUGUUGUAAAGAACUUUCAUCCCCAAAACCAUUCGAGAUUUUAUCCAUGAUUUAUUGAUUUUAGGCAAUGGUUUAUUAUUUCGGCCAACUUCAAUUUGGAAAUCCUGGCCAACAUAUCCAAUUGCAAUAAUAUGUUCAGCAGGAUAGUAUAUCCUUCCAUCAACUUCGGGACUUAUUGAAUAAAAUUUGAUAUAAAUUGAUCUCCCUUGGGCAAAUUUUGAAACUUCUGCCCUGAAUAUAUCAUCAAAUUUUUCAAUUUCUUUUAAAUUUUUUCCUGGAUAGAUCAAAUUCAGAAAUCCAUAAUAUGCUGCCAUUUUGACCAUGAAAGGGUCUGCAUCUUUGGUAAUUAUUAAUUUGGGAUAAACAUGAUCUCCUGAUGCAAUAAAAUAAGAUUCAUUUUCUUCUAAUUCAUAAACAAUCUUGGCAAAUGAUCUAUAUUCUUCUUCUUUUGAUGAUAAAGGGGUAUCAUCAUUUUCAUCAGUUUUGAUUCUUAUAACUCUUGUAUGUUCAUCACCGUUUUUUAUAGUCACCUUCCGAGGACUUGCUAUGUCUCGUUUGAUAUUGCUGGGUCUAC